ACAUAAACAAAGACGUUUAUAUCGGAGCGAUGGGAAAGAUAUAAUUUCUAUUAGACCUAUCCAUUUAUAAAGAUGAGUGGGUAUACUAAUAUUUUACUGUUUGGAAAGAAGAAUCUAUUCGUUUCGUCAAUUUAUUUAUUUAUAAUCAUUUUUGUUGACAUUUAAAUGACAAUUUUGAUGUAACGAUGUUACACUGUACUGUUUUGAAAAAUAUUUUAGUUUAAGUUUACAUAUAAACGAAAUAUAAACGUGUGUUUAAAUAUUGGAACACACAAAAACUGUUCAACUGAACACAGGUGAUCCAUGACAAAGAUAUCAAAAUGUUUGUUUGUCGCAACUGUUGCCUUUGCAUGGACUUACGAAAAGGAUGUAUAGCUAUAGCGUAUUGUCAAGCGGUCCAACAAAUAUUACUAAUGUUUUAUACGUUGCGAGCUUUAUUCGAAGACUUUUAUUUCUUCAAGACAUGCAGUAAGGCUUUGUACGAAGAGUCGUCAUUUACAUUUGCGUACUCAAAGGCACUACAUCUUUUCUUACAUACACUAUAUUUGAUUUUAACAGCUUCAUUAUUGGUUGGAUUACAUAAGGGAAUGACAAGAAUUGUAAAAGACUAUUUGAUAUCGACAUUUAUUUUCUUGGUAUUCUAUGCCUUGUUAUAUCUUUUAGCGUGGAUUUGUUUAAAUGAAUUUGAAAUAGACGGUGUAGGACCGCCUAUAAAUUUAACACUUAAUGUCUAUUUUCUCCUGAUGAUGCGCAGCUAUUGGUUGAAGAUGCACGCGAAGCAAUCUUUUAGCAUGAAUGCGUAGUGUUUGACGCCAUUUUUUCUGACAAUCAAAAUGGCGGUAUCUUAAAAUGACAGCUGUCAUACGUAAAUAAAAACAAAGUUUAAUUUUCUAUGUCCUGUCUAGUUUCGUAAUAUUU